GUAAUUGCAAUGCUUGUAUGUUUUCUCAUAUUAUUUCUUACACAGUUUUUUUUUUUUUUUUGGGAUAUGUAUAGAGUGAAGUGGAGUGGAUCGGAAUCACUGUUGAUUCAUUCUUUCGGUGCGGUGCGGCAAGCAAAAGCAAAAUUAGGCUAUAAUCGAGCUUUGUAAUUUUUUUAAAGAGUUAUGUGCUAAAGUAUUGAGGGCAGAGGAUUUGGAACUUCUUGAGAAAAGUGUGUUCAUAACUCUUUGCAAGUUGGAAAAAGUAUUCCCACCAGCAUUUAAGUUCCAUGUAAGUAAAGCAAUAGAGUGUUGGAGGAAGUUCCAUGUAAGUAAAGCAAAGGAAGGAAAAGAAGAACAUUGGAAAAGUGACAAGGCUAAGGAAAUUUAUGAUGAUCUUACUGAAAGAAAGAAUAGAGUGGAAGAAGUGUUUGGUGAAGCUGAUGAUUGGGAAAUAUAUCAGAAAGUGAUUGGUGGGCCUAGUCACGGUCGUGUACUUGGUUUAGGUGCUGGGGUGAAACUAAAAGAUUACAAUUCACCUAACCAAACUUGUAAUAAGCCUACAUGUUUGGAACAAAAAGAAGAUUAUGAAAGAGUGAAAGGCCAAGUUGAAUCUCUGACAGAUAAAUUGGACAAGUUGACUCAAAUUGUUCAAAGUUUGCUGCCUAAUACCUCAGACAAUUCUAAAGCAAGAAACUCACAUUCUGUGGACAAUAUUGCAACAGAUUCAAGUGCACACCAUGAUGAAGAUGGUACUGAUGAAGAUGGUGAUAAAGAUGUUGCUGAUGAAUAUGAUGCAAACUCUAGUUAAGACUUUU